AACGUAGGAGGCAAGCGUUAUCCGGAUUCACUGGGCGUAAAGCGCGUGCAGGCGGUUCGGUAAGUUGGGCGUGAAAUCUCCUGGCUCAACUGGGAGAGGUCGUUCAAUACUACCGGGCUAGAGAGUGGUAGAGGAAGAUGGAAUUCCCGGUGUAGUGGUGAAAUGCGUAGAUAUCGGGAGGAACACCAGUGGCGAAGGCGACUACCUGGCCUGUUCUUGACGCUGAGGCGCGAAAGCUAGGGGAGCAAACGGG
rnacentral:rRNA from 1 species